rnacentral:lncRNA from 1 species
AGAACCACAGUGGUUUACAUCAGCAGCAACAGCAGCAGAAUACAGCAAAUACUUUGGGGCUAGACUGUUCCAGGCAGACAAGACAAGAAUAGGUGAGUACCUCUCAAUACAGACAGGAUAUAACUGCUGACGAAACGCAUGACAUGUAACAAUAAUCCAACAAAGAAUCUACCAGAGCAAACACCAGAUAAAGGGUGAACACUUAGGGCAAAGUAGAAACAGGUGUCAAAGCAAUGACAAACAGGUGCAUGAAGAGAGAGAGGUCAGCAGGACAGAGAAAGAGAAAGUGUAAUAUAAUAAUGAGCUAAUAAGGUGUGUGUGUGAGUGUGAGUGUGUGUGUGUAAGUAAAUGAGUGAGAGAACGUGCGAGAGAGAAAACGGAAGAAAAAACCUGACUCAUGACAACAUGAAGACAUAAUUUUCAUUUUUGGGUGAACAAUCCCUUUAAGAGGCUUUUGUGUCGACCCUGAUUUAUUGCACUAUUGAGGUGUUCAGUUUUAUUUAGAUUUUAGAAAAUAAACAUGACUUCUCAUUUUACAAAUCAAUUGUUUCUUAUUUUCACCUGCAUGUCUCAAGUGUCAAGGACUAGUGCAUCUUUGAGCCUAAAUUUAGUAUAAGUAAAAUAAUAAAGUACUGUUAAAAUCACUUUUACUCAAGUCGUAUUGGUAACUUGUAAUAGAGUAAUUUAUUCUGCAAGGUAUCUGUCUUUUUACUCAAGUAUGGUUUUCAGGUACUCUUUACACCUCUGAGUUUUACUAAUGCCAUUUUCCAGAUGAGAUUGCGUUAAGUGAUGCUGAAGACAGUGGGAGCGAAUCUGAUGACAGCAACACAGAUAUCACCGCAUCAGAGUUUGGAACUGUGGAGCCUAUGGAUUUAGACUCUACAACCACAGAGCAAGAUCAUGACAUGGGAGACUUUGGAUCCGUGUCAUUUGUGUCAUCCACAGUAAGUGAGAGUGUACCUCCCUCUGAAGGGAAUCAUGCUGCUGAGGAACAUGGAUCCAGAAGAGUGGCAAAGAAAGUGUGGUCUAAGGCUGAGGUCGCCGCAGUAAUGCGACACUUCAAAGGUCAUAUAAGCAGGGGAAAACUGGCCACCAAAACUGAAUGCAGUCACUGCAAACUGGUGGAAGACCCCGUGUUGGCACAAAGAACAGUGCAAAAUAUAAGGGACUCUGUUCGAAAUAGAGGAAUAGCUGCAAAGAGACAGUCAGAAAAAGAAAAGAUUUAAAUACACUGACAAUUGUGGUGUAUACGGUUAGAAGAUGGCUGUGUGUCAUGUGACCUUGUUAUUCGUUCACACUGUGACUAUACAAAUCACAACAUGUAAAUAGGAAAAUGUUGGCGUUAUUUUGUCACUUAUUGGGAGCAGUAUACUAGCUGUAGCCGUUUACCUCCAGUCUUUGUGCUAAGCUAGGCUAGCGGUGGGUGCGUCAGACAGAGUUAAGGCAUGCACGGAGAUGAGAAGGGUAUGUAUGGACUCAUCUAACUCUGGGGGAUACGGUGAAUAAGCUAAAGUCCAAAGUUCCUUUAAUGUUUUAAAAAAGUGUGGCUCUUGUGUUUUAAGUUGUUGUCUGCCUGUUAUAGUUUGUAAUGAUGUUCAGUACAAAAAUAGAAGUUCAAAUGACAAAGAGGCCAUCACAAAAGCAAACUGUAGAACAGUUUUAAUUUUUGUUCUUGUUUUUACAUUUUAUUUAUUUUGUUAUGAGCAACCAUGGGUCUUUUGAAGUUGGGUAAGAAUAACUUAUUUGAACUUUUUUGCUCAAUUCUCAUUGUCAUGGCACUUGUGUUGUGUGACAAUCUAUUGUUACAGGCUGUUAGUCAGUGUCACCAACUAACACUGGUGAUGUAGAGUUGUAGAGAUGUAGAGUAGAGUUGUGCAAUAAAAUAAUAAAAUAAUAAUAAUAAUAAUUGAAGUCCCAUUAAUGCUUGGUGGUGUCAGGUUAAUGUGCAUUUAUGUUAAUAAGCAAUUAUUUAAACGACAUCGUUGUCCCUUUAAAGUCCCAAUAAUGUUUGUUUUGGUACUCAUAAGUCACAUAUUCUUCAAAAGUAGAACUGUCUCUAUAAACCACAAUAGUUUUAGGGUGGUGUGAAUCACGCUCUGAAGGGUGUAUCUGAAGUCUAAAGUGUCCUGAAUUUUGUUCAAUUUUUUUUUUUAGUGUUUUAAUCGAACUCUCAUAGCUCUAGGACCUCAGGAAAGGGUAGUCCAUCUAAACCACCACCGGGCCUGUUUGGAGAAAAAGUCUGGCUAAUCCACAUAGACCCGUGUGUGUGUGUGGAUAAAAAAUGAGACUAAAUGACAGAUAGACCCGCAGUCUACUCUCACAACCAUUUAUGUUUUGAAUGCAUUUAUAACCAACAAAUUUAACCUUUAUUUAACCAGGUCAUUUCUUAUUUUCAGUAACAGCCUGUAAUUACAUUAUUGGCAGUUUAUUGUAUGGAUCUAUAUUUUCAAGUUGAUGAAUAUUUUAAUAAGUUGUGAUCAAAUAUCAGGUGACACUGAUACUAUGUUGAGUUUUCAUCCAAACCAUCAUUUUUGACAUAAGUGAGUUUACAUGUACACUUUAGGCACCUAUAUGUCCCACACUGCUGUACAUCAUUAGCUGGGUUUCCAUCCAAAGUUGCGAAUUUAACUUAUGCGCAAAACUGGAAUAUCGCAUAAAACAUUUGCGAACAAGCAUCGUUUCCAUCCAACGAGUCAAAGAGAACAAAAUCAUCACUUCCUGAUAAACUGGCACUAUACAUCACUAAGAAAAGUAGGAGAAUAUAAUAAUCUUCAUAUAUAAUAAAUCACUUGCGCCUCAGAGCGAGCAGACGAAACAAUGCGGUCAAUGCUUUCGGAGGUGGAUGCUGCCGUUUGGGAACACAGUCGUAUAAGACAUUUCUGGAAGGCAAUGACACUAUUUUCUUAUGAAUUGAGUUUAAUUACGAAUGAACUUUACCAUUAAUAUCAACUGAACUAAUAAUAAUAACACUUAUAUUGAUGGCAUUUAAUUUUGACAGUGGUGAAUGUAAAAAUCUGCAAAGUUUCAAAGAUGAAUUUCAUAUUCAUAACAGUGUGUCUGGGAACAAACCAAAAUUUUGAGAACAACUGGACUAUAACAAAGCAGAUGCUCAGGUGUGGUCACAGAGUUCCUAUGUAUAAGACAAAAAAAAUAAAAUGUCAGACUCAUAAAGAGGUGAAAAAUGCAAAUAGUCAUGAAGGUGGAUGAUCAGAUUUGGGUCACUUUUCGGCUGCGGUGAGAACGUAGCUUUAGUUUCACACAGAUACGUAUUUUCUGGUGCCAUUUAAAACGCUUCCCACACGAAGAACACAAAUAUGGUUUCACAUCUGCAUGACUUAGGUGUAUUUGUAAGUGUGAUGGCAAAAGAAAUGUUUUAUUACACUGAUCACAAUUAAACUGCCUUCCUCCAGAUCGAUCGUGCUUUUGAUCUUUCAAACUGCUCAUUUUUCUAAGCCUCUUUCUGCUUGCAGAGCACUGCAGUUUCUUUCCAGAAUGUGCUUGCAAAUGACGUUUCAGGUCUCUUUGAUAUGUGAAGCUCCUCUUACACUGAAGACACGUGAAAGGUUUUUCUCCAGUGUGAAGCCUCCUGUGAAUCUGAAGGGUUAUUUUCUGAUUGAAACUCUUUCCACAGUGAGUGCAGGUGAAAGGUUUCUCUCCGGAGUGGAUUCUCAUGUGAACCUUAAAUUUUCCUUUAAAUCUGAAGCUCUUUCCACACUCAUGGCACGUGAAAGACUCUCGAGAAUGAACUUUUUCAUGCCAGCUAAGGCGUCUCUGCAUGACUUAGGUGUAUUU